rfam:Bathymodiolus thermophilus thioautotrophic gill symbiont strain BAT/CrabSpa'14 BATSymA_Scaffold9, whole genome shotgun sequence.
GCGCUCGUAGCUCAACUGGAUAGAGUAUUGGCCUCCGAAGCCAAAUGUUGGGUGUUCAAAUCACCUCGAGCGCA